CAGCAGCCGCGGUAAUACGUAGGGGGCGAGCGUUGUCCGGAUUUACUGGGCGUAAAGGGUGAGUAGGCGGUUAUAUAUGUCAGGUGUAAAAAGCUAUGGCUUAACCAUAGUAAGCACUUGAAACUGUAUGACUUGAGUGCAGGAGAGGUAAGCGGAAUUCCUAGUGUAGCGGUGAAAUGCGUAGAUAUUAGGAGGAACACCGGUGGCGAAGGCGGCUUACUGGACUGUAACUGACGCUGAGUCACGAAAGCGUGGGUAGCAAACAGGAUUAGAUACCCUGGUAGUCCACGCUGUAAACGAUGAGUGCUAGGUGUUGGGUAGCGAUAUUCAGUGCCGGAGUAAACACAAUAAGCACUCCGCCUGGGGAGUACGGUCGCAAGACUGAAACUCAAAGGAAUUGACGGGGACCCGCACAAGCAGCGGAGCAUGUGGUUUAAUUCGAAGCAACGCGAAGAACCUUACCAAGGCUUGACAUCCCCUUGACAGAUGCAGAGAUGUAUCCUCCCCUUCGGGGGCAAGGGAGACAGGAGGUGCAUGGCC
rnacentral:rRNA from 1 species